rnacentral:rRNA from 1 species
ACUCAGUAACACGUAGGAAUCUACCCUAAAGAUGGGCAUAGCCCGCCGAAAGGCGGGAUAAUUCCCAAUGGUGUGUGGCUUUAAAACCACACUAAAGGUGCAAACCGCUUUAGGAUGAGCCUGCGGCCUAUCAGGUAGUUGGUGGGGUAAAGGCCUACCAAGCCUAUGACGGGUAGCUGGUCUUAUGAGGAUGAUCAGCAAGAGGGGGACUGCGACACGGCCCCCACACCUACGGGUGGCAGCAAUCGGGAAUCUUGCACAAUGGACGAAAGUCUGAUGCAGCGACGCCGCGUGCGGGAUGAAGGCCUUCGGGUUGUAAACCGACGCUAAGAAGGAUCGGCUAACUACGUGCCAGCAGCCGCGGUAAU